rnacentral:lncRNA from 1 species
AUGGUGAGCAUCCUCCCCUGUGUGUCCAUCCUGCUGUGUCCGUCCCUCUCCAUCCUUGUCCAUCCCACUAUGUCUAAUUCUUUCCAUCCCACUGCAUACUUCCUACUCUGCCCCUCUGCAUCCGUCCCUCUCAAUCCCACUGCAUCCAUCCCACCCCAUCCCACUGUGCCCAUUGCUAUCCAGCCCACUGUUUCCAUCCCACUCCGUCCCAGUGCUCAUUCCUGUCCAUCCUGCUGCAUCCUAUUGUGUUCAUCCCUAUUCAUCCCACUCCAUCUCUCUGUUCAUCCCGCUGUGUCCAUCCUGUUCCAUUCCACUCCGUCCAUCCUACUGCGCCCAUUACUAUCCAUCCCACUAUGCCCAUCUCUCUCCAUCCCAUUGCAUCCAGCUCUCUCCAUCCUGCUCUGUCCAUCUCUGUCCAUCCCUCUCGAUCCCACUAUAUGCCCAUCCCUUUCAAUCCCAAUGUGUUCAUUCCACUCCAUUCCACAGUGCCCAUGUCCAUCCUGUUCCAUUCCACUCCGUCCAUCCUACUGCGCCCAUUACUAUCCAUCCCACUAUGCCCAUCUCUCUCCAUCCCAUUGCAUCCAGCUCUCUCCAUCCUGCUCUGUCCAUCUCUGUCCAUCCCUCUCGAUCCCACUAUAUGCCCAUCCCUUUCAAUCCCAAUGUGUUCAUUCCACUCCAUUCCACAGUGCCCAUCCUUCAUCCCGCUGCGCCCAUCCCUCCAUAUACACACAUGUAACACGUACACACACCUAUAUGCCCAUAUACACACAUGUAACACAUACACACACAUAUAUGCCCAUAUACACACAUGUAACACGUACACACACCUAUAUGCCCAUAUACACACAUGUAACACAUACACACACAUAUAUGCCCAUAUACACACAUGUAACACGUACACACACCUAUAUGCCCAUAUACACACAUGUAACACAUACACACACAUAUAUGCCCAUAUACACACAUGUAACACGUACACACACCUAUAUGCCCAUAUACACACAUGUAACACAUACACACACAUAUAUGCCCAUAUACACACAUGUAACACGUACACACACCUAUAUGCCCAUAUACACACAUGUAACACAUACACACACAUAUAUGCCCAUAUACACACAUGUAACACGUACACACACCUAUAUGCCCAUAUACACACAUGUAACACAUACACACACAUAUAUGCCCAUAUACACACAUGUAACACGUACACACACCUAUAUGCCCAUAUACACACAUGUAACACAUACACACACAUAUAUGCCCAUAUACACACAUGUAACACGUACACACACCUAUAUGCCCAUAUACACACAUGUAACACAUACACACACAUAUAUGCCCAUAUACACACAUGUAACACGUACACACACCUAUAUGCCCAUAUACACACAUGUAACACAUACACACACAUAUAUGCCCAUAUACACACAUGUAACACGUACACACACCUAUAUGCCCAUAUACACACAUGUAACACAUACACACACAUAUAUGCCCAUAUACACACAUGUAACACGUACACACACCUAUAUGCCCAUAUACACACAUGUAACACAUACACACACAUAUAUGCCCAUAUACACACAUGUAACACGUACACACACCUAUAUGCCCAUAUACACACAUGUAACACAUACACACACAUAUAUGCCCAUAUACACACAUGCAACACGUACACACACCUAUUUGCUCAUAUACACUCUUUAA